rnacentral:miRNA from 1 species
CUGAGAGAAGGUUGUUUACUUG